GACGAACGCUGGCGGCGUGCUUAACACAUGCAAGUCGAACGGAAAGGCCCUGCUUUUGUGGGGUGCUCGAGUGGCGAACGGGUGAGUAACACGUGAGUAACCUGCCCUUGACUUUGGGAUAACUUCAGGAAACUGGGGCUACUACCGGAUAGGAGCUCCUGCUGCAUGGUGGGGGUUGGAACGUUUAGGCGGUUGGGGAUGGACUCGCGGCUUAUCAGCUUGUUGGUUGGGUAGUGGCUUACCAAGGCUUUGACGGGUAGCCGGCCUGAGAGGGUGACCGGCGACAUGGGGACUGAGAUACGGCCCAGACUCCUACGGGAGGCAGCAGUGGGGAAUAUUGCACAAUGGGCGGAAGCCUGAUGCAGCAACGCCGCGUGCGGGAUGACGGCCUUCGGGUUGUAAACCGCUUUCGCCUGUGACGAAGCGUGAGUGACGGUAAUGGGUAAAGAAGCACCGGCUAACUACGUG
rnacentral:rRNA from 1 species